rnacentral:lncRNA from 1 species
CCUUUAGGGUAUUUAGGCAGUAUUUAAUGGAAUGAUGGUGUAUUUUUGGGUGAUUAGGAAACAAUUGUUUUUUAACAAGAGUGAACAGAGAAAUAGGCUGUACUCCCUGCUGCAAGAUUUUAUCUAUGUCUGAUAUUUGUUAGUCUUCUCAAGUCAAAAGUGAUACAACUGAUUACCAGGUGCUGAAUCAUAUUUACAUUUUGGUUGACACUUUCCUAUUCCGAACUAUUCCAUUGUGAGCCUUUAAUUGGCAACCACUUACUAAUUGGCUAGUCAAAGCCAAAAGGCCAGCUGGCACUCCUUUCAUUUUAUUAUCUCCUAGGGUUUAUAACUGGAUUUGAGCUAAGGUGGGAAUAAGUGUUUUACAGCCGCAAUUAGUUUAUUCCUAGGGCAAACUACAAAUAGAACUGCAUAUGUAUAUACAACAAGAAACUUGUUUUCCAUUUCAUUGUGACUGAGGAAAUGGCAGUGGGCUGGCUGAUGGCCAAUGCAUACCUAAAUGCCAGCUGGUAACUGUCAGGAUUGACUGCACACAGAGAAGGAGGUCCAUUGGGCCAGAGAUUGGAGGAUGGGUGAAUGAAACUGUUGUAACUCAGCCACCGCGGCCUGUACUACAACAGGAGUUGGAGUCUGAUUCAGAGUCUGAUUUGGAUUUUGGGCCCGUCCAGGACUUGGAGCAAUGCCCAAUGCCUCUGCAGGUGCCCGAAGUAGUGGAGCCAGGGACUCCGCUAAUUGGCGAACAUUCCGAACCUCAGUCAAGGUUGUUUUUGCCAGAUGUUGUUGACGCAGAGGAGGAUGCUACUUUUUAUCACAGAGAAUCUUUUGCGAAGGAAAGGAGUCAAAGGGAGGAUGUGAGAUGGAGUCGACAUUUGGCUCUGAGAUCCACUAAUGACUAACUUUCCCAUGUUAAAGGUGCUUCUCUCCCUGCCCUGGUUGCGGUGUCAACUUUGCUAUUCCUAGAAGAAGAAUCUAUGUUCCUGCCUCUUGCUCCUUGCCUUGUUCCCAUGCCUGAUUUCAGGAUUUCCAGGCUGUGUUCGUGCUUCGUGACUCUUGAGUAUACCUUGCCUUGUUAACCUCGAAUCCACAACUCCUUGGUAACUGCUUCCCUUGUGGAUUACAGCAUUUUGUCCUUGUUCAUUGCAACUUCUGGCUGACCCAGUUUGGACAGUGUUACGGACUACUCCAACUUCUUGGCGGAACUAUCGAGUUCCCUUUGUGGAUUACAAUAUUGAAAGACUUUACUGGACUGGUGUUGAACAGUCACAGAUUUUAUACUAUGGACUAAUUCCUCUAUUGACUUUUUAUGCUAUUUGCUAUAUAUAUCCUAUAAUAAACUGCUUUGCUUAUGAAUCUGGCUCCAGUGUGGUUUUCAGGGUGCUCUCGCUACCUUGGGGUGUAACAGAAACUUUUGUCAGGUUUUGAGGAAUCACGUCAGGAGGGAUUUACAUACUCAGGUAUGUACAGAAUCAUAUACAUAUAAUCAUAUAUGCUACUGAGGGAUCUGUGUGUAUGCAGAUAUUGCAUUUAGAGUGCUAUUGAGGCAUGCAAUUAAAAACAUUUCUAACAUUGUAGCUGUUAUGUCAUACCACACAUAGUUUUGUUUACAAAUUUAAUUACUGAUUUCAGGGCUACUUUUGUUCAGUAGUACUUUUAUUCAUACUGCACACCCUUUUUUGGCAUGCUUAGCCAAAAGUGAGGUACGCAUUACAUUCAAUAGUGCACUAGAAUUGGAUGUCUAAACCCGCCCGUGUCCCUUUGUCAUGCUUAAACUAGCAAACCUGCCGGCCACAGCCUGAUGGAGAAGCAGUGGCUUUAGGCUGUGAAUGAGGCCUGCUGGGAAACUGGACUCCUUCACCAACCCUUUCUAAGGAGAAAGGGUGCCCCCUGCCAAGCUGAGCCUGGCAAAAUUACUUACCUCUCACUUUACCCUUCCAUCAAGCCCAGGCUGGUCUUGAGUAAAUACAGAAUUACACUGACAUUGUUAUAGUAUUACAACAUGGAAAUGUCAAAGAAAGUUGUGGGAAAAAUCCAUGUAAUGAACAAAUCUAAGAUUAUUUUUGAAUUUAGGUCAAAUUCCUGUAAUACCAGCAUACUUUAAAAAGUUUUUAUGACUUUCAAUUUAGCAACCCUGAGUAAUUUAUCUCCAAUGCAUUGAUGUCUUUGCAAUCUGGAGGUGGAUAAUGAUCUCAUGGACUUUCACAAACUGAUAAAUUCUACGGACACCAAUGGGCAAAUUAAUAUAUGUAGAGUGUAAUAAUUCAGAAAUUCAUUUUUUUAACCUAAGGGUAAAACAGGUUUACUUGAUUAGAGUAUUCAUAAUCUGCCCUUCAGUUUAAAAGAGUCUCAGGGAAGCUAUCAAAUCAUUAAUGUGACAUUUUUUUUCUGGUUUAUA